AUUGAACGCUGGCGGCAUGCUUUACACAUGCAAGUCGAACGGCAGCACGGGCUUCGGUCUGGUGGCGAGUGGCGAACGGGUGAGCAAUAUAUCGGAACGUACCCAGCUGCGGGGGAUAACGUAGUGAAAGUUACGCUAAUACCGCAUACGAUCUUUGGACGAAAGCAGGGGACCGCAAGGCCUUGUGCCCUUGCAGCGGUCGAUAUCUGAUUAGCUAGUUGGUGAGGUAAAGGCUCACCAAGGCGACGAUCAGUAGCUGGUCUGAGAGGACGACCAGCCACACUGGAACUGAGACACGGUCCAGACUCCUACGGGAGGCAGCAGUGGGGAAUUUUGGACAAUGGGCGCAAGCCUGAUCCAGCAAUGCCGCGUGAGUGAAGAAGGCCUUCGGGUUGUAAAGCUCUUUUGUCAGGGAAGAAACGGUAGAGGCUAAUAUCCUGUGCUAAUGACGGUACCUGAAGAAUAAGCACCGGCUAACUACGUG
rnacentral:rRNA from 1 species